rnacentral:rRNA from 2 species
UGCAGUCGAGCGAAUGGAUUGAGAGCUUGCUCUCAAGAAGUUAGCGGCGGACGGGUGAGUAACACGUGGGUAACCUGCCCAUAAGACUGGGAUAACUCCGGGAAACCGGGGCUAAUACCGGAUAACAUUUUGAACCGCAUGGUUCGAAAUUGAAAGGCGGCUUCGGCUGUCACUUAUGGAUGGACCCGCGUCGCAUUAGCUAGUUGGUGAGGUAACGGCUCACCAAGGCAACGAUGCGUAGCCGACCUGAGAGGGUGAUCGGCCACACUGGGACUGAGACACGGCCCAGACUCCUACGGGAGGCAGCAGUAGGGAAUCUUCCGCAAUGGACGAAAGUCUGACGGAGCAACGCCGCGUGAGUGAUGAAGGCUUUCGGGUCGUAAAACUCUGUUGUUAGGGAAGAACAAGUGCUAGUUGAAUAAGCUGGCACCUUGACGGUACCUAACCAGAAAGCCACGGCUAACUACGUGCCAGCAGCCGCGGUAAUACGUAGGUGGCAAGCGUUAUCCGGAAUUAUUGGGCGUAAAGCGCGCGCAGGUGGUUUCUUAAGUCUGAUGUGAAAGCCCACGGCUCAACCGUGGAGGGUCAUUGGAAACUGGGAGACUUGAGUGCAGAAGAGGAAAGUGGAAUUCCAUGUG